GACGAACGCUGGCGGCGUGCCUAAUACAUGCGAGUCGAACGAACCGCGACUAGGUGCUUGCACUUGGUCAAGGUGAGUGGCGAACGGGUGAGUAACACGUGGGUAACCUACCUCAUAGUGGGGGAUAACAGUCGGAAACGACUGCUAAUACCGCAUAGGACAUAGGAUCACAUGAUUCUGUGAGGAAAGGUGGCGCAAGCUAUCGCUAAGAGAUGGACCCGCGGUGCAUUAGCUAGUUGGUAGGGUAAAGGCCUACCAAGGCGAUGAUGCAUAGCCGACCUGAGAGGGUGAUCGGCCACAUUGGGACUGAGACACGGCCCAAACUCCUACGGGAGGCAGCAGUAGGGAAUCUUCCGCAAUGGACGCAAGUCUGACGGAGCAACGCCGCGUGAGUGAAGAAGGUCUUCGGAUCGUAAAGCUCUGUUGUUAGAGAAGAACAGCGCAUAGAGUAACUGUUAUGCGUGUGACGGUAUCUAACCAGAAAGCCACGGCUAACUACGUG
rnacentral:rRNA from 1 species